AAGCAUGUGGUUUUGUGCUGAGCUGUGUAAUACGUCAGGGCUCAGAAGACCGCGUGAGACAGGACAAAUGUGUAGCCAGGAGCUCUAGGCAAAUCUCAAAUCACUAAGAAUCCAUCACUGUUGCGGAAUAUACUACAGACCGUUCAGUAGCUGAUGACCAUAAAGCACUACAACUCAACCAUGUUUAUCUGAAGAAGCAGUAAUGUGAGAGCAUCACCAGCCUAAAAGCAGGUGGAAGAAAGUUCACGCUGUGCACAGAUCCACAUAUUGUUGGACAUAAAAAUAUCACAUAAAAUGUGGACCCAUCCUUAGAACAGUAGCCCUAAUGAUCAGAUCUGUCUGCAUUCAUGUCUCUUUGCCACUCUUUCAACCAACAGUUGUCUAUCCUUUGACU
rnacentral:lncRNA from 1 species